rnacentral:rRNA from 1 species
UGGGGAAUUUUGGACAAUGGGCGCAAGCCUGAUCCAGCAAUGCCGCGUGCAGGAUGAAGGCCUUCGGGUUGUAAACUGCUUUUGUACGGAACGAAAAGCUUCUGGUUAAUACCUGGGAGUCAUGACGGUACCGUAAGAAUAAGCACCGGCUAACUACGUGCCAGCAGCCGCGGUAAUACGUAGGGUGCGAGCGUUAAUCGGAAUUACUGGGCGUAAAGCGUGCGCAGGCGGUUAUGUAAGACAGAGGUGAAAUCCCCGGGCUCAACCUGGGAACUGCCUUUGUGACUGCAUGGCUAGAGUGCGGCAGAGGGGGAUGGAAUUCCGCGUGUAGCAGUGAAAUGCGUAGAUAUGCGGAGGAACACCGAUGGAGAAGGCAAGCCAAUGGGCCUGCACUGACGCUCAUGCACGAAAGCGUGGGGAGUAAACA